GCCUCGGUAGCUCAGUAGGUACCUCCUGCAAAAGCAGGUGAGCUUUAAAGAGCACACGGCUGUUAACCGUGUUGUCGUAGGUUCGAGCCCUACCCGAGGCG
rnacentral:tRNA from 1 species